UACGUAGGUGGCAAGCGUUAUCCGGAAUUAUUGGGCGUAAAGAGCGCGCAGGUGGUUAAUUAAGUCUGAUGCGAAAGCCCACGGCUUAACCGUGGAGGGUCAUUGGAAACUGGUUGACUUGAGUGCAGAAGAGGGAAGUGGAAUUCCAUGUGUAGCGGUGAAAUGCGUAGAGGUAUGGAGGAACACCAGUGGCGAAGGCGGCUUCCUGGUCUGCAACUGACACUGAGGCGCGAAAGCGUGGGGAGCAAACAGG
rnacentral:rRNA from 1 species